GUUUACGUCACGAAAGAUACUACUGCCGGUAGAGUCAAAUAUAAAUGAGAGCGUUGAACGUUCUUAGAAACAGAUGUACUGGUAGACACCUGUACGGUGGCUUCAGUUUUUAUCUGAGUAAUUUUUGUUCAUUUACCAAAAGCACUUGGAAAAUCGACGAUGGUGAAAAUAGGAAAAUUUCCCACAAAGAACAAUACGCUCGGGUAAACAGAGUGUGAAAGAGAAUAAGAUUGAAAACAAAAAACAUCAAAGUUAUUGCGAUAAUUCAAAGUUGCCGUUGUUCGAAAGGAAUCAAAGAAGAAACGAAAAUAAGUGCAAGCUAAA